GACGAACGCUGGCGGCGUGCUUAACACAUGCAAGUCGAACGGGAAGGCCCUGCUUUUGUGGGGUGCUCGAGUGGCGAAAGGGUGAGUAACACGUGAGUAACCUGCCCUUGACUUUGGGAUAACUUCAGGGAACUGGGGCUAAUACCGGAUAGGAGCUCCUGCUUCAUGGUGGGGGUUGGAAAGUUUCGGCGGUUGGGGAUGGACUCGCGGCUUAUCAGCUUGUUGGUGGGGUAGUGGCUUACCAAGGCUUUGACGGGUAGCCGGCCUGAGAGGGUGACCGGCCACAUUGGGACUGAGAUACGGCCCAGACUCCUACGGGAGGCAGCAGUGGGGAAUAUUGCACAAUGGGCGGAAGCCUGAUGCAGCAACGCCGCGUGCGGGAUGACGGCCUUCGGGUUGUAAACCGCUUUCGCCUGUGACGAAGCGUGAGUGACGGUAAUGGGUAAAGAAGCACCGGCUAACUACGUG
rnacentral:rRNA from 1 species